rnacentral:rRNA from 1 species
CAUAGGUUAAUGAGGCGAACCGGGGGAACUGAAACAUCUAAGUACCCCGAGGAAAAGAAAUCAACCGAGAUUCCCCCAGUAGCGGCGAGCGAACGGGGAGCAGCCCAGAGCCUGAAUCAGUGUGUGUGUUAGUGGAAGCGUCUGGAAAGGCGCGCGAUACAGGGUGACAGCCCCGUACACAAAAAUGCACAUGCUGUGAGCUCGAUGAGUAGGGCGGGACACGUGGUAUCCUGUCUGAAUAUGGGGGGACCAUCCUCCAAGGCUAAAUACUCCUGACUGACCGAUAGUGAACCAGUACCGUGAGGGAAAGGCGAAAAGAACCCCGGCGAGGGGAGUGAAAAAGAACCUGAAACCGUGUACGUACAAGCAGUGGGAGCCUCUUUUAUGGGGUGACUGCGUACCUUUUGUAUAAUGGGUCAGCGACUUAUAUUCUGUAGCAAGGUUAACCGAAUAGGGGAGCCGAAGGGAAACCGAGUCUUAACUGGGCGUUAAGUUGCAGGGUAUAGACCCGAAACCCGGUGAUCUAGCCAUGGGCAGGUUGAAGGUUGGGUAACACUAACUGGAGGACCGAACCGACUAAUGUUGAAAAAUUAGCGGAUGACUUGUGGCUGGGGGUGAAAGGCCAAUCAAACCGGGAGAUAGCUGGUUCUCCCCGAAAGCUAUUUAGGUAGCGCCUCGUGAAUUCAUCUCCGGGGGUAGAGCACUGUUUCGGCAAGGGGGUCAUCCCGACUUACCAACCCGAUGCAAACUGCGAAUACCGGAGAAUGUUAUCACGGGAGACACACGGCGGGUGCUAACGUCCGUCGUGAAGAGGGAAACAACCCAGACCGCCAGCUAAGGUCCCAAAGUCAUGGUUAAGUGGGAAACGAUGUGGGAAGGCCCAGACAGCCAGGAUGUUGGCUUAGAAGCAGCCAUCAUUUAAAGAAAGCGUAAUAGCUCACUGGUCGAGUCGGCCUGCGCGGAAGAUGUAACGGGGCUAAA